rnacentral:rRNA from 1 species
CACGAGUGGCGAACGGGUGAGUAACACGUGGGUGACCUGCCCUGUACUUCGGGAUAAGCCUGGGAAACUGGGUCUAAUACCGGAUAUGACCUUCUCCUGCAUGGGGGUUGGUGGAAAGUUUUUGCGGUACAGGAUGGGCCCGCGGCCUAUCAGCUUGUUGGUGGGGUAAUGGCCUACCAAGGCGACGACGGGUAGCCGGCCUGAGAGGGCGACCGGCCACACUGGGACUGAGACACGGCCCAGACUCC